CUUCCGAGUCUUGCUCAUCUUCACAUCGAUCAACAAAAUUAUCUUCAUCAAACCUCUCAUUAACAUCUUCCAAGUCAUCGGAUUCAGACUCACCAUCUUCCGUAAAUAUAGACAGGUCUUCAUCAUCCUGUGUCAUUACCAGGUGGACCCCGAAGCUUUUAAAACGCAGCGAAUCUUCUGCCCAAGUCGGAAAAUUAACUCGACACGCAAAAGGCGACUUCGGCCAGGUAAUCUGAUCAUCCCGGUAAAACAUUUCUCUGAACUGAAUAUAGCACAGCCACACAUGACCUGACCCUAUCUUUUUGAAAUAGUAAUUGCACUGAAUAAAAUAAGGUUCCACUCCUGGUUGAUUGAUGGAAAUUUUUGGUACAAAACCAUGGAAACGUCGUCUUUUGUUUUGGGGGUUUUCAACAGCAGCGUAUAGAGCCAAUCCUUGGUUCUGGCAUUUGAAGUUUGGAGGGAUUUGAAUCAAAAAUUUACAUGCGUUAUCACGCUCCUUCACAUCCUUAUGACAGCUGAACAACGUCGAGAAAACUUCAAAACUUGCUGGAAAUACAACCUGAAAUCCAUGUUUCUGUGAAGACAGAAGGUGAUCAAAGAAGAGAGUGAUCUGCUCCUUUGCUAAAAUGUUAUGCUUCUUUGUGAGGUCACGAGCCAGAUUGCCGCACAGUCUCUGGCAAUUACCCAAGUCCACCAACUCAAUCAUUUGUAAGUCUUUUUUACCUUUCAGAAUGUUGGACAACGAUGAAAACCUUUCCAAUGAUACGCAAUCACUCGCCCCUAACUUUACUAUUUUUGGUGGAAGUUCCGGAAUAUCUCGAAGCCUCUUGCAGCCAUGCAAGUAAAGAUCCCGCAAAUUGACAAAUUUCGUAAUGCAUUUGGGAAUACUUACAAGGAAAUCACUUCGUCUUAGAUCAAGUACGUUCAAUGUAGACACACAAUCAAGAGUCCUCAGGAAAUUAAAUUCUGAUAAAUUGUUUCCUUCCAACUUGAAUUCCGCAAGACUGGGAAGCGCUAAAGUAUGUGAUACUGGACUCCCCAAAACUUCAGACUUCACUUUAUUUGGAAAUCUAACAAGCUUUCGACUUCCUUGGAGACAAAUUUCAUUUAGAUGUUCCAACUCAUAAAUGCUGGAUGGCAGAUUCGUCAGAUUUUCACAAAUGCUUAUGUCUAAAAAUUCAAGACUGACGAGAUAUGCAAUUGACGCAGGCAAUUCUUUGAUGCCACUACCACAUAGAAACAAGUGACGUAAGGAAUCCAUCUUCCCCCCAAUUUCAGGGAAAGUCUCCAGUCUUCUGCAAUAUACAAGAUAGAGAACUUCUAGAGAUUUUGACUUGAUUAUUGGAAAUAGUGUGAGGUUAUGGCAACUCUGAAGACUCAAUUUCACAAGCUUAUCAUGAAAUCCAACAGAAGGAUGAACCUCAACUAAACUUGUGCAGUCGUCUAGAUUCAAGGACUGUAAGUUUGGAAUUCCAGAGAUAUUUGGGCUUUUUGUUAGGAAUUCACAGCUCUUAAAAUUCAUGGACGUCAAAUUUUGCAAACGCUAUAUAAGACAAAAAUAGAAAAUAAAAAGAAGGAUCAAACGGUAAGGCAUAAACAAGUUCAAGCCAUAACUCCAAAAACAUAAUAAACUUUUGAAAAUACGAAGGGAUGAAAAUAAUUUAAAUUACCUUGAAUCCCUCCCCAAGUUGUGACAAGCGGCUAUAAGGCAUAUAAAGUUCAACAAGUUUCCUUGGAUUGAAAGUAGAUGGUAAAGUUUGUAGAGGACAAUUAGGCCAAUGAAGAAACCUCAACUCAUUAGAUAGAUAAUCCACGUGAUCGCCACUAAAUCGUGCAUUCACAUUGAUGAAAAGUCGAAGGUUUUUCAUCUUUGAGAAGCUGUCACCACUCAAGCAUAUGUCAUCUGGUGUCGGAAACUUUGCUAUGAUGCCUUUAAUAUUAUUUGUUCCCUAUUAUCAAAAAGCAGUAGUGUAAACAUACAAAGCUCUUUAGCAAAUAAAAAUGCAAGUGUACACAUCACACAACAGACUUACUGUUCCUUCUGUUAGAACACGAUAAACAUCCUCGUGAAACCACAAUCUGCUACGUUCACCAGGCUCAUUUGGCGACUGUAGAUAAACUAUUCCUCUACCCAAUUCUUCAAGCAAGUCAUGCAUCCCAAUUAUGCCUCGUUCAAUAUUUAUGAGGGCCUUGUCUACGAGUACUUUAAUAGCAUACUUAGGCUUGAGGUCACAACCUUCCAGGAUCGGUAUCACAUGGUUCACCUUUCUACCGUUAAAGAAACAUGCUAUGUCAAGGAAAACUUCUUGCACUGAAUAUUCCAAUGCAUCAUAGCUUAUUUUGAGAGUUUUUUUAAUGUCCGGGUGCAGAUUCCCAUCCAAUGCAUCAUGCCACUCAUCUAUACUUCUACCACAUAGAUGAGAACCUAAAACCUUGAGAGCUAAAGGAAGACCUUGAGCAUGCUUCAGCACAGUUUCUGCAGCUUUCACAUAAUCAUCAUCCAAAUUUUUAUUUCUCCCACCAUUCCAACUAAUGAAGAGAUCAAGAGAUUCACCAAAGUUUAAUUUCUUGGCCUUAUAUAUAAUACUAACUUGAUGAGAAGUUAGCAAAUGCUUAUCUCUUGUCGUUAUGAUGAUUCUACUGCCCAAACCAAACCAAUCACAACCUCCAACUAAGUUGUUUAAUUGGUCCAAAUGAUCCACAUCAUCUACAAUUACAAGGACCUUUUUACCACUCAACCUUUCCUUUAUCACACUGAUUCCUUUAUCGGCACUGGUAACCUUUAUUUCCUUUCCCCUUAGAAUCUCAUCAAGAAGAAGAUUUUGUAGGUCGACUAGGCCUCCAUAUGGUAUUGAUCUUUCUCUUACUUUUUCCAGAAAACAACUCCCUUCAAACACAUGGGCCAGUGAGUUAUAAACAGCUUUAGCAACAGUUGUCUUUCCUAUUCCAGCAGUCCCCCAUAUUCCUACCAUGCGAACAUCAUUUCCGUCAACAUCUAAAACUUUAUGAAGAUCUCGUACACGAGCCUGUAUUCCGACUUGGUAUUUUGCCACAUUGAUAUGGGUAUCAUUUAAUACUUGUAAGGAAAUCUCGUUGACAAUGUUCUGAAUAAAUUCAGUUUCACGGCUGCCAAUUUCAAGCACAAACAACAAUUAAAUCAAAUGGGAUUUUUCUAUAUAUGUUAUAAAGAAGUGCUCGAUACUAAUGUCAAUUAUGUCAUGAAUCUAUAUAUAUAAAGCAAAAAAUAGAGAAUAAUGAAACAUUCAAAAUACCAUAAAAUGUCAUUGGUUAAUGUAAACAUUUUAACAGAAAUAUAUUGAAAAUGUCUAUUACUCUAGAGAUUUCUACCAAAUGUCCAUCACAUUUUAACAGUUAAAAUAACAGAUUCUGCAACCCUGGGAGAAAUAAAUUGAAAUUAAAGCAGAGCCUCAGAAAAGAAAAAAAUAAUAACGGAUCCUAAAUGUAUAUUAAAGACAGAAAUAUACCGCAUCAGAAAAGGAAAAAAAUAUAAAUAAUAAUAAAUAAAUAAAUAAAACAUACCCCUCCAAGUAAUGCGACCCAGACAAAUUUGCAGCUUCUGUAAGGGUUUCCUUCCAUCUCAGAACCUUCUUCAUAUUGUCCUCGAAUUUACUUUCAUCAUGGUUAGUAAGUUUCUGUUCUUUGAAUUUGCGUUCAUGGUUAUUCAGUGCCUCGCCAUAACUACCUCUUUGGUUCCUUACAUCUGAGGGAUCCACUUUGUAGAAAACUGGCCAAACCAUCUGUUGCUUUGAUUUUCUACACUGAAUGAUAUGAACAAGUUCAUCCAAGCACCACUUCGAGGAUGCAUAUUUUUCAGAGAAUACGAUGAUGGAACACCUCGAUCCUUCAAUUGCAUCAAGAAGUGCUUGUGAUAUUUCCUCUCCUCUUGGGAGCUCAUCAUCUAUGAAGGUUCUGAUGCCCCUCUGGACCAAAUUUUUGUGCAGAUGGUCUGUGAAAUUGUAGCGUGUGUCCUCACCUCUAAAGCUGAGAAACACAUCGUGGGUCCAUGAAUUGGUGAAAGAAGAAGAAGAAGAAGAAGGGGAAGGAGCUCCUAAUAAUUGAGUGGUGUCUAGAUCCAUAUUGUUGAAAAUUGAACAGGCUGAAAGGGUUGGAAAUUAUAGUGAUUUAUUGUCCGAGAGUCUCUGGUUGGCAAUGUCAGUGGGGAGACGAAUCAUGUGAGUGAAAAGUCUUCGUCUUUCUCGGCCCCAAGAGCCCCUACCUCUGCUGGGUCUCUCUAGACCCGAGGGACAGUUUUAAAUUUUUUUAAUUUUUAAUUUUAUAUAAUUAUUUAAUCAAUAAAAUAAAACUAGUUUGUUACUCUUUCAAAAGGUUUCCGUGAAUGGCGGGAAGAAGAACCACCUUCAUUAGUGGUUGAAUCCAUUUGAUUGCAGAAAAGGAUGUUGGGAAAGGCUACUUUCCUUUGUUAUAUAUUAGGUGUUUACUCAGUGCUCCGCCAUUUGCUUGUAUUAAAAAUAAAAUUAGGCCAUCCCAUCUGCGAAGUAGUUUCCUCUGUCAUUUUCAGAGUGGAUGAGAAGUCAAAAGGUGAAUAUUAUAAAACAGAAGACUGCAUUUUUGUUGCAACGUACGGUUGUUUCGCAAUUCAGAAGUAACGUAGAAGUUCGGCGUGUAGGAAAAAAAGACAAAAUGCGUAGAUGAUGAAGAUGCAUAAAAUAACCUCCUCUAAAUAUUUUGUUAGAAGACAAAACUUUGUUUCUUUUCCUUUUUUCUUAUUAUAUGACCUAAUAUUUGAAAAAUAAUAUUGAUUCCUUUAUCGACAAAAUGGCCUAAUUAUUUACAGAAUUUAAAUAAAUUUUUAUAAUAAAAAUUGAUUUUAAUCCCCACUUGAUACACGCACAUAGGACACGCUUAGGAUAUUCAUUAGGAAAUAAAAUCAAUAGGAUCCAAAAUUUGGUGUUUAUAGGAUAUAGGAUGAUAAGCUAAAUUCAAUAGUCUCAAUACGAACUCAAUAUCACUCAAACUCACUAUGCAACACAUUUCAUUCAAUUCUUUUGUGCCAAAAUAAUUGACUACUCGAACAUCUUCUAAAAGUUUCAUUACGUCCAUGGAGUAUAACUCAGUUGAUUGAGCUCUUUCACCUCCACUUAUGUGGGCAAAAGUUCGAGACACCUAGGCACCCAAUGAAUAUUUGUGUAAACCACUCUCCCCCAAUCACUUGUGCUAUAAAAAUAUAUAAAAAAAUAAUUACAAAUUCCCAUGUUUUUCUUAUCAUUUCCAUUGUUUUUUUAAUCUAGUUUUUAUCAAUAUCAAUAAUUUUUCACAGAUAUUUCCAAAUUUUUAGACCACUAAUAUUUUUGAAACUCUAAAUGCCUGUUUGGCAUUGUUUAUUUGGAGCAAAAAUCACUUUCUUAAAAAGUUUUCUUCCACCUAGCUGUUUGGUAAAUGAAAAAAUAAUCUGAUUAUAUGAAUAAUUGCUGUCAGCCACAGUGAUUUGAGGAAGCUGGUCAGGGGGUGAUUUUAUUUCCGCUUAUGCGGAAAGAGGGUGGGGAACCGGUGCUCUUUAAUGAAUGUUUUAAAAAUGCCCAGAUUAUUCUCAUUGGCUUUUGAAAAUGACAUCCACUAUCGUCUUCAUUUGAUCAUGUAUUCUUGAAUCGCUGCUUCCUCUCCUCUCACGUUACAUAGUGAGUUCAGUUCUUCUUCUUCUUCUCUUCACACCUUUCUUCUUUAAUUUGUCUCCAAGAUUCCUACAACCCCAGAUCUAAAGUUUGUUUCUUAUCUUUUUUCAUUCUGGAUUUGGGGCAGUUAGUCCUUUCUGAUGGUCCAAUCCUGAUAGUCACGUUUCUAGUUCUCAACAAAGAACAAAUCUUAAUGGUCCUUCAAAUCAACGGAUUGGAUCCAGUAUCAAUUUCAUCAUUUUGGGUUUUCAGUGCAACAGAGUGAUAAAAGGUUUUCAGUGCAACAGAGUGAACAAAUCUUAUUGUUUUCUUGUGUUUGAUGGGCUGCAAUGAAUUUGUAGGUUGUAUCCCCUGUGUUCACUCUCUUUCUGGGUUUCUCUUGUUCUAGUCCUCAUUUGCAACUUUAUCCAAAUUAUUUUUUUAUAAAUUCUCUUGUUCUAGAACACUUUUAUUUUUAAUACUCAUUCUAAACUGGUUUCCUUCAAUCCUUUUUUCCGUUUUCAAAAUCAUUGGGUUUUCAAUAAUGAAAUGCUGUAUUAAUUGACGACAAACAAAACAAAACAAAACAAUGUAGGAUCAGCCCACAUAACGCAUCUGGAAGAAAGAGGCGAAGGGUGGUCAUAAUUUCUAAAUUUACUUCACAAUAAGGAAAGGAAUGCAUAUAUGCAAGUAUGACUGUAUGAGUAGCAACGUAUAUACUCGAUGGGAAUUGGCAUUUGGUUGUUGGCCAUGGAGUUAAAUGGUGUGAACAAAAAUUACUAAUGAAGAGGCAAGAGGGCACUGAAUACUGCAAUCGUGAUAGGAAGAUUUUGGGUUGUUAUUAUAUUCAUUUGUGAAUUACAAUAGUUGAGUUUUCAAUUGAUCAUAAUAUUCAGGUUUUAGGUAUUGAAAUUAAAAAUAAUAACCUCAUGCCCUUUCUAGUCACUAUACACAGUCCAAACACUUUUACACAAAAAUUUACCAAACAUUCGUAAACUUAAUAUUGUUUCAACAUCACUUUUAACAAAAAGUUUACCAAACGCCAAAUUGAUUUAUUUCACAGCUGAUUUCUCAUAUAGCAAAUUUAACCAUGAUUAUUUUCACAGCACAGCAAUGCCAAACUGACUACCUUACUUCUUACCCAAAAAAAUUGUCCUUACUUAUUGUAAAAUUAAUGAGACAAUAACUAUUUAUAACAAAAACCAUGAUUGCACUCAUAAUAUGCAUCAAUGUACAUCACAGAUGCAAAGUAGUUUCAUGUCAUCUUCAUAGUGGAUGUGAAGUCAAAGGGAAUAAGAAAAUGGUCAAAAGGAAACAACAACCAACCACAAAAGAAAAAGAAAAAAGAAGCAUCACUACACUUUCGUUGCAACAUGGUUAUUUAACAAGUAGUUGGGGGUGUGGAAAAAAAGACAAAAGGUCGAUUGAUGAUGAAGAUGACUAAAAUAGAUCAGGAUUGUCAAAAAUAACAUCUAUAAUUGUUAGAACACAAAAUUUUGUUAUUGGCGAGUCAGUUAAUUCAUAAUGUGUCAUGCUAUUAGAUAGAAAGGUAUUCGUAUAAUGUAUGUGAGUUUAGUAAAUUAUCGCCCCUCUCAAUAAGGGCUUGCAAGUAAUGAGACACAUAACCUAAUUAAAAGACAGGAUUGUAAUUAAACCGAUAUUUUGUUGAUUAAGAAUGAAUGCAAUUUUCAAAAAUAAUAUCAUGAACCCAUUCAAAUUGAGUGAGAGGGACUUCGUCGAUCUUUUCUUCUAGCAGAUCAAACUUGUUCAGUAUCAAAAUGAAGUCUUUAUAUGGUCAAUGACUGGAUAGUGAGCGUAUGGUGGAAUGUCUAGUUUUGGGGUGGGUGGUUUCAAUUGGGUUGCCACCAAAUAUAUACUACUAGAUAGUAACUUUUGAAUUAAUGAUGCCAAGGGCUUAAAUAAGAUGGAGUAUUUAAUCAAACUUCUUGUUUCAUGAUGCUAUAGUCAAUUGUUGCAUGACUAAUACCUUUUUUUUUUUUUUUUUUUUUUUAAUUUUAUGUUUUUUCGAAAAGGCAGAUUUCAUUCCAUUAGAAAGGAGGAAUAAUGGGCAUGUAAUACAUAGCCUCGUUAAAACCUUCCCGGAGAAACCACACGUGAAAAAUCCCGGAGUAAGAAAGAGUACCACAAAUGCUGAUGAAGUACACAACAAGAAAAAUUACAUUGCAUCACUAUUCCUCCUUUUUAGUUCAAGAGGUAUCUUUUUUUUUCUUUUUUUUUGGUGGUUUUCUUUGUGCAUGCUCUUGGGAUUUAUAGUACUUUACUCUGUUGUGAUCAAUGUUAUGUCUAGAGUACCCAAUGUUAUAUAACUCCCCCAUUGUAAUUUCUAUAACUCAUAACUCGCAAGAAAGAAUUCAACCUCCCCGUAGUUUAGAAAAUAACUAUUUAAUUAAAGAUUACAAUCUGGUUUGGUUAAGUUAACUGACUAUAUAUAUAUAUAGUAGCAACGGUGCCCACGCGAUGCUACAGGUUUUAAAACCCUGUGAAAUGUAUACAAAGUCGUGAAAAUAUGUAGGAAAUAUGGUACUAUUUAUAUAGACAUGGAGAUCUAAAUAGUGGCAUCUUUGUUUUGCAAGUUUAAUACUCCCAAAGAAAAAAUUAGCCAAACUACAGACGCAAAAAUGAAUCUUAAUCAAUUCCAAAUAAUAGAGGCAGUGUUCAAACUUAGAAAGAUAGAAGAACUAAAAUUCAGAUAAUGGAGGUAAUGUUCAAACUUUGAACAUCUCUAACAUGACAUCACCAAAUCAGUAAAUAUUACACAAAAUCAGUAUAAAAACACAUGAAGACAAAAAAAAAAAUAAAAAAAGCAAAUAUUAACAACAAUAGAUCAUUACACAAUUUAGGGUGACCCUAACAACAAUUGAGGAAUUGAUUGCUUUUGUUAGAGACCAAAGCAAGUGUUUCUAAAACAGGGAAUAAGAGCAUAAAAGUUUUUGAAUGUUGGAUGCCCAUUUUUUACUUUUCCUUCCUCUUCCUCUAUUUCCCGAGAAAGCAAAUAAACAGAAUCAGCCAAAUAUCACCACAAAUCAAAUGUAUGGUAAUUAAUUAAAUGCCAAAGUAAGAAGUGCCAAAGAAUCAUUGAGCAUAAAAUAAAAAAAAACCAAAAAUCUGAGUCACCACUUGUAGAAGAUUAGCCCUUUGCUGGCAGCUCCUUUCACUUACAAACUCCUUGGUGUUCCAGUGCCACAACAACUUCAGUACUUGCUGCACAAUCCAAGCUCCUCAGUACUCGAUGCACAAUCCAAGCCCUGCAAGCUACAUUGGUAUUUGUUAUGGGUUGCCAUAAAAGGGAAUUUUCAUUUUUAAAGGUCCGUAUGUACGAAUCUAUAAAUGAGUUGCAAAACUUCCACAAAUAUCAAAUCAAACCACAGAUUAGUGGCAGCAUGUAUGUACCAAAUUGUGGCACAUCCCAUUUCAGCUCAUAAAUCGUCAAAUAAAAAAUCUAAAAUACGCAUUCAUAUCAUACAAGUUGGAAGGAUGAACCAAUAUUUUGCAAAAGCACAAAACUUUAUUAACAUCCCAACAAACCCAAAGGAUAAAAACAGAUAAUCAAAUCAAUCAUGAAAUACAGAAUUACAGACAGAAUACGCACAUAUAAGGAUGAAAUGCAACAAUUAAGACCACUCGCGCCACCCAUUUCUCUGUAAUUGAUCUUUCGCUUUUUCAUUGUCAAUCCAACAUACUUUUAAAUCUUUACCAAUCAAAUUUUACGUCUCCAAUUCAACCGGGCAUUUCGAGGGGAUGCCUCUGACGCAGCCUCCUUCACAUCUGCCACCAAAGCCAAACAUCAAACCUCAAUUAAUUCACAAACCCAGAAACCAACCCAACCCAAAUUACAUAGGGCAGAUAGAUAAAGAAGCAGGAUGAAGCAAAAUGAUAAUAAUUGGUCAAACAGAACCCAACAUGCACAAAAGCUUCAAAUGUCCAAAGCUCCAAAAACAAAACAUAAUAAUAAUAACCCGAAUUGGGCAAACCAAGUUCUACUCAGUAGUGGGUGGCUCUUGUGGGGAAGAAGAUGAAGCUUCAUCUGCAUAAGAGACCAAUGUACACAGUGGGCUUGCGUUUCACGUCCCAUGGCUGCGUUUUGCGAGGCCGAGUCUUCCUGUGAUGCGCAGUGGCCUUCUUCUGUGGCCUCGACGAACACUCAAUCAUCAACCCAGUACCUCCACCAACUGAGCCGCGCAAUGGGGAUGUCUUUGGGACCCCAAACGACUCGAUCGCAGAUGGGUUCUUCACGGCCACACCCAUAGCCACCAAUUGAGGCCCCAACACAGCUUCAGUUCUCACAGUGAGAAAAAGACGAUGGAAUUGGGUUUUCCUUCUCUCAGCGACUCCGACGAAGAGGAGAGAAUAGCGCUGGAGGGCAAAACGGCUAAUUCACUGCUCAUAAGUCAACUCAAGGAAGCAGACCAUCACUUAAGCGGGGGCAAAACCGUCACUUCGCUAUUCCCAAGCUACAGUCCAGGAACAAUGACUCUGGGAUCAGUUUUAGUAUAUAUAUAAUUUAUAAAUAAAUAAAAAGAACUUGUGUAUUUUGUUUCUUUGUUUGUUAAAAAAUAAUGGGAGAUAUUAUUGGCACCCCAUUAUUUGCUCUUUGCACCCCAUAUUAAUUUUAAACAUGAAUAAUUUAUUUAACCUUCGUACAUAAUUACCGUUAAGGACAAAAAGCAUUUAUAAUAAAAAUUAAAUUUGCUCACUACACCCCAUGUAUGUUCCUGCAACUCUAGUUAGAAUUUUUUUCUUAAACCAUCAUGUUCCUACAAUCCUAAUGAGCUUUAUACGCUUAUAUUGGUGAAAAAUAUAUUGUAUUUAUUCAUGAAGGGUGAGAUUGAAGUUAGAGAGGCUUCGAAUGAGUUAUGAGUUUAUUUUUUGGCCUUUUUCAAGCUUGGGAUUUCUUGAUGGUUCGCUAGUUGCGUUUAGCAAACCAGUACCGAACGCGAUAGGUAAAUUCGGUGGGAUGCCACCGAAACAUUGCACCUAUUUUGGUUGCGUUUGACUGGCCGUUAACUUCAGAUGCAGUGGAGAUCCACCAUAAUAUAAACGGUGUUCGGUGGUUUAUUACAGAAUUUUUACCUACAAUUCAGUGGCAACGAACCGAAAUAUAUUUAUUUUUUCAGUAACUUAUUGUCGACCACAAAUUUAAUAUAAGCUAUUUUGACCUUACUCCCAUUGAAGGAACAAAAACAAGAUGACGCCCUUAAAAUAGAUGACACAUCAUCAAAUGUGAUGGUCAUCUCACUAAAAGGCAUGUGAAAGAUGUUCGUUUCAAGAUGCCAUCUCUCAAUAAAGGUAGAUAUAACAAUCUUAUCUGCAUUCCGAUAAGAACACUAAAUAAGUUGCUCCAAUCCAUACCUCUAAAUGUACCAUUUGAAUAUACCAUUAUUUGGAUUAGCCCUCCAAUUUCACUAAUGAAGGAUAGAUGUCUUCGACAUGCACCUAAGGUGCUCACAUUCCUAGUAAAAAACAAUAUUAAGUACAAACUCAAUAACGAAUUCAGUAGAUGAUCACUGAAACAAGAAACGAAUUCACGGAAACAAAAAAUGAAUUCAGUUGACUACUACUGAAAAACAUAAACAUAUUCAAUAGACUGUCACUAAAAAACUGAAACAGAUUAUGUGAACUACUAUUGAAAAACGUAAACACAUUCGGUGGGUAGCUACUGAAAAUAGAAAACAAAUUCGAUGGACUACCGUUGAACAAGGUAACGAUUUUAGUGGGGUUUACACAGGUAAGUUAGGGAAUGGGGUUCAUGAGGGCAAUCUAGGAAGAAAAAUGAGGUGUAUUGAGUAAUUUUAAAAUUUCCUAAAAUUCAGUGGGGUGUAAGGAGAAUAUGAGGUGGAAAGAGCAAAUGUUAGAGUGCCAAUAAAAUCAUCCAAAAAUAAUAUAUGGUUUAAUGGGUUGUCCUGUUAAGGGAAAGCUUGGAGGCAAUAAUUUAAACUUUUGGAAAAACAAUAAUCCCAAAUGUAAGAACAAUUCAUCCACUAAUAGCUUGCAAAAUUAUAAUUUAAAUGGAAAAACAAAAAACAAAUGCACUAGUAAUAAGUUAAUGUAUCUACUAAACUUAAUUACAUGGAGGCAAUCUAAUGGAUCACUAGUGAUUUUUUAGUCAAAACAACCUAGUUAUAUAUAAUUACUGAAAAAAAUAAUCUCAUUUUUCACGGCCCAAGAACGGGCAAGGGUCCUUCAAUAAGUUAAACAUGUUUACAAGGUGUCACCAAAGCACAAAACGGUCCAUAAGCAAACGAACUGUGGCCUCUGAAAGACUAGAGGAAUCCAAGUCCCUCUGAAUCUGAACCAUUCUGCUGCUCUCUUUUCUUGCUUCUUUCAACACUUGCUGUUGUUCUUCAACCUCAUCAUCACCUUCUCCUUGUUUUCCCUUUGAUGAAAACACCAGUCGCUUCUUAGCCCCUACCUUGUCUUUCAGCUUUGCCAACUCGCUCAUCCAAACCUCCACCACUGCAGACAUGCUUGAACUUGAAAACAUGAAAACUGGCUUGGUCUUGACUCUUUGAGUUUGAUCAAGGAUGAUGGGGAGAGCUGGCUAUUAUGCUUGUUGGGUUAUAUAGAAGAGAGAGAGAGAGAGAGAGAGAGAGAGAGAGAGGGCCUUGCCCUUCAUGUGGCUUGGAUUGGAUGAAAAAUCAGUGUGUCACAGACAGCCGUUGGUUAUAGGCUCGCACACAGGAUUUAGUUUUAGGAAUAUUCCAGAGAGAGAGAGAGAGAGAGAGAGAGAGAGAGAGAGUACAAAGUGGGGUAUGAGUUUUGUUGAGUGAAUGAAAAGCUUCCCAGUGGGCGCACGGAACUCUCUUCUUUAGAUUGUGGGCGACUUGGCAUAUUACUAUUCAUCAAUAGUAUCCAUUGCAUCUUAGUUUUUCUUUUGUCUUAUUCCAACAUUGCAAAUCUCUCUUCCGGGUCAACCACCUCUUCAUCAUCAUCUUCAGUAAAAGUAGCCAUCUUCAUUAUCUUCACAGCUGAAGUAGUCAUGUUCCGAGUCUUGCUCAUCUUCACAUAGAUCAACACCUGAUUCAGACUCAUCGGAUUCAGACCUGUCAUUAGCAUCUUCCAAGUCAUCGGAUUCAGACUCACCAUCUUCCGUAAAUAUAGACAGGUCGUCAUCAUCCUGUGUCAUUACCAGGUGGACCCCGAAGCUAUUAAAACGCAGCGAAUCUUGUGUCAAAUUCUGAAAAUUAACUUGACACGCAAAAGGCGACUGCGGCCAGGUAAUCUGAUCAUCCCGGUAAAACAUUUCUCUGAAUCGAAUAUAGCACAGCCACACAUGACCUGACCCUAUCUUUCUGAAAUGGUAAUCGAACUGAAUAUAAUGAGGUACCACUUCUGGUUGAUUGACGGAAAUUUUUGUUAGAAAACCAUGGUAACGUCGUCUUUUAUUUUGCGGGUUUUCAACAGCAGCAUAUAGAGCCAAUCCUUGGUUCUGGCAUUUGAAGUUUGGAGGGAUUUCAAUCAAAAGUUCACAUGCUUCAUCACGCUCCUUCACAUCGUUAUGACAGCUGAACAACGUCGAGAGAGCUUCAAAACUUGCUGGAAAUACAACCUGAAAUCCAUGUUUCUGUGAAGACAGAAGGUGAUCAAAGAAGAGUGUGAUCUGCUCCUUUGGUAGAAUGUUUGGUUUCUUUGGGAGGUCACGAGCCAGAUUGCCGCACAGUCUCUGGCAAUUACACAAGUCCACCAACUCAAUCAUUUGUGAGUCUUUUUUACCUUUCAGAAUGUUGGACAAUGAUGAAAACCUUUCCAAUGAUAUGCAAUCACUCGCCUCUAACUUUACUAUUUUUGGUGGAAGUUCCGGAAUAUCUUGAAGCCUCUUGCAGCCAUGCAAGUAAAGCUCCCGCAAAUUGACAAAUUUCAUAAUGCAUACGGGAAUACUUACAAGGAAAUCACUUCUUGUUAGAUCAAGUGCACUCAAUGUAGACACACAAUCAAGAGUUCUGAGGAAAUUAAUUUCUGAUAAAUUGCUUCCUUCCAAAGUGAAUGCCUCAAGUCUGGGAAGCGCUAAAGGAUGUGAUACUGCACUCCCCAAAACUUCAGACUUCACUUUAUUUGGAAAUGUAACAAGCUUUCGACUUCCUUGGAGACAAACGUGGUUUAGAUGUUCCAACUCAUAAAUGCUGGGUGGCAGAUUCGUAAGAUUUUCACGAUUCCUUAGGUCUAAAAAUUCAAGACUGAUGAGAUAUGCAAUUGAUGCAGGCAAUUCUUUGAAGCCACUACCAGAUAGAAACAUGCAACGUAAGGAAUCCAUCUUUCCCCCAAUUUCAGGGAAAGUCUCCAGUCUUCUGCAAUCUUCAAGAUUGAGAACUUGUAGAGAUUUUGACUGGAUUAUUGGAAAUAGUGUGAGGUUAUAGCAUCUCACAAGACUCAAGUCAACAAGCUUAUCAUGAAAUCCAACAGAAGGAUGAACCUCAACUAAACUCGUGCAGUCGUCCAGAUUCAAGGACUGUAAGUUUGGAAUUCCAGAGAUAUUUGGGGUUUUUGUUAGGAAUUCACAGCUCUCAAAAUUCAUGGACUUCAAAUUUUGCAAACGCUAUAUGAGACAAAAAUAGAAAAGAAAAAGAAGGAUCAAACGAUAAGGCAUAAACAAGUGCAAGCCAUAACUCCAAAAACUUAAUAAACUUUUGAAAAUACGAAGGGAUGAAAAUAAUUUAAAUUACCUUGAAUCCCUCCCCAAGUUGUGACAAGCGGCUACAAGGCAUAUAAAGUUCAACAAGUUUACUUGGAUUGAAAGUAGAUGGUAAAGUUUGUAGAGGACAAUCAGGCCAAUGAAGAAACCUCAACUCAUUAGAUAGAUAAUCCACGUGAUCACCAUAAAAUCGUGCAUUCACAUUGAUGAAAAGUCGAAGGUUUUUCAUCUCUGAGAAGCUGUCACCACUCAAGCAUAUGUCAUCUGGUGUCGGAAACUUUGCUAUGAUGCCUUUAAUAUUGUUUGUUCCCUAUUAUCAAAAAGCAGUAGUGUUAACAUACAAAGCUCUUUAGCAAAUAAAAAUGCAAGUGUACACAUCACACACACAGACUUACUGUUCCUUCUGUUAGAACACGAUAAACAUCCUCGUGAAACCACAAUCUGCUACGUUCACCAGGCUCAUCUGGCGACUCUUGAUAAACUAUUCCUCUACCCAAUUCUUCAAGCAAGUCAUGCAUCCCAAUUAUGCCUUGUUCAAUAUUUAUGAGGGCCUUGUCUACGAGUACUUUAAUAGCAUACUUAGGCUUGAGGUCACAACCUUCCAGGAUCGGUAUCACAUGGUUCACCUUUCUACCGUUAAAGAAACAUGCUAUAUCAAGGAAGACUUCUUGCACCGAAUAUUCCAAUGCAUCAUAGCUUAUUUUGAGAGUUUUUUUAAUGUCCGAGUGCAGAUUCCCAUCCAAUGCAUCAUGCCACUCAUCUAUACUUCUACCACAUAGAUGGGAACCUAAAACCUUGAGAGCUAAAGGAAGACCUUGAGCAUGCUUCACCACAGUUUCUGCAGCUUUCACAUAAUCAUCAUCCAAAUUUUUAUUUCUCCCACCAUUCCAACUAAUGAAGAGAUCAAGAGAUUCACCAAAGUUUAAUUUCUUGGCCUUGUAUAUAAUACUAACUUGAUGAGAUCUUAGCAAAUGCUUAUCUCUUGUCGUUAUGAUAAUUCUACUGCCCAAACCAAACCAAUCACAACCUCCAACUAAGUUGUUUAAUUGGUCCAAAUGAUCCACAUCAUCUACAAUUACAAGGACCUUUUUACCACUCAACCUUUCCUUUAUCACACUGAUUCCUUUAUCGGCACUGGUAACCUUUAUUUCCUUUCCUCUUAGAAUCUCAUAAAGAAGAAGAUUUUGUAGGUCGACUAGGCCUCCAUAUGGUAUUGAUCUUUCUCUUACAUUUUCCAGAAAACAACUCCCUUCAAACACAUGGGCCAGUGAGUUAUAAACAGCUUUAGCAACAGUUGUCUUUCCUAUUCCACCAUUCCCCCAUAUUCCUACCAUGCGAACAUCAUUUCUGUCAACGUCUAAAACUUUACGAAUAUCUAGUACACGAGCCUCUAUUCCAACUUGGUAUUUUGCCACAUUGAUAUGGGUAUCCUUUAAUACUUGUAAGGAAAUCUCGUUGACAAUGUUCUGAAUAAAUUCAGUUUCAGGGCUGCCAAUUUUAAGCACAAACAACAUUUAAAUAAAAUGGGAUUUUUCUAUAUAUGUUUUAAAGAAGUGCUCGACUCGAUACUAGUGUAAAUUAUGUCGUGAAUUUUAGAUGAUGGAGUUACUACAUCAUGAUAUUUGAUAUGUCUAGACACUUCUUCUUAUUAAAAUCUCGGUUUAUUAGUUAAAAGUUGGACUCAACAUCCAUAACUGUCUUACAUUUAUCAAGAAGAAUAAUUAAAUGAGGGUUUUAUAAUCAACAUAAGGAAGAGCUGUUUGGUAGGUAUCUAAGACUAAUAAAUUAAUUAAGUAUUUUGUUCUUGGAAAUUAUGUAAUUUAUGGACAACAUUUUAUAUAUGUUUGUUGCAUGUUAUCAUAUACCAUAGGCUUAAUUUUUUCAAAUCCUCUAGGUGUGGGAUUGCCCUGGAGAGAGAGAGAGAGAGAGAGAGAGAGAGAGAGAGAGAGAGAGAGAGAGAGAGAGAGAGAGAGAGAGAGAGAGAGAGAGAGAGAGAGAGAGGUGGUGGAUGGGAUAGAGGAAGGUGGAGGGAGGGUCAUAAGAGAGGCGUGAGUGCGGCUGUUUAUGGCAGGGAUGGGUUGAUUUGAGAACUUAUUAUUUUUUUCACAAUAUUAAACCCAAAUAAAUAAGUUAGGGAAAGUACAUCAAACAUGGUUUUCUUCUUCUGUCUUACACUCCCCUUCUAUUUUCUUACUCUAUCGUUUAAUCGCUCUUCUCGAUUUCUCCUUACUAAACAAUUGUUUAUCAAACAUGUUACUAUUGUAAUAGAUUUUGAUGUUGUCUUUUGUCUAUUUUUGCUCAUUUUGCUUCAAGAUCUUGAAUUUGUCGUUUGGUGGUUGACAAAUGAAGUGCAGAAAAUAUAUCUAAUCUGUAGUUUCUAUUCAUUUUCAGUACUUUUGAUUGCAUAUCUUGAAUUUAUAUUGUUUGAUGGCUGAGAACAUGAGGGAAAAACAAACAAUUAGAAAAUUCAUGAACAAGCUAUGAUGUUAGGGAAAGCUUGUGAUGGAAUGGACACUACGAUAACAAUAGAAGAGAUUGGUUUUCGUAACAGAGUGAUUUUAUUAGAAAGGAGAGAUGUACACUGCUUGCUUGGUGUAGAACUAUGAGGCUAUUAAUAAUGUAGCUAUUGGUUGGCUAAUUGGCCUUUCAGUGAUGUAACUAUUUGCUACUUAGUGGGUUUGUAAGAUUGCAGGAUUUCAUCCAACACAAAAAAUAAAGGACUGCAGGAUUCCACUGGCAUAUUACACAAAGCCUUGUAAUCUCCUCUGUUUCUAUUAGAUUGUGUGAGGCUUAGAUAUAAGAAUAGUGUUUGGCUUUCUAGUAGAUUUCUUAGUUACAAUUCACAUUACAACACUUCAAUCCUAUUUAUUGGCAAUGUUUUCCGGCAAGUUUGCCGACUUGACCAACCACCAUGUCUACUACUUGGCUUUAUCAAAUAUUAUCAGCCACAUAAGCUGCAGCUUGCUCUAGACUGGAGCAUUCUACAAAACUCCUUAUAUGUUUGUGGCUAUUUGUUUAGCCGGCAAAGUUCACCGACUUGGUCAUUUAGUCCAGUAGCUACCCUCUUCUAGAUUCUACUACAAUUAUCUUAGAUAUCUGAUAGCUAUUGUAGCACUUUGGGAUUCUAAAUUAUUACUCUAGAGAUUUCUACCAAAUGUCCAUCACAUUUUAACAGUUAAAAUAACAGAUUCUGCAACCCUGGGAGAAAUAAAUUGAAAUUAAGGCAGAGCCUCCUGAUCCUAAAUGUAUAUUAAAGAUAGAAAUAUACCGCAUUCAGAAAAGAAAAAAAACAUACCCCUCCAAGUAAUGCGACCCAGACAAAUUUGCAGCUUCUGUAAGGGUUUCCUUCCAUCUCAGCACCUUCUUCAUAUUGUCCUCGAAUUUACUUUCAUCAUGGUUAGUAAGUCUCUGUUCUUUGAAUUUGCGUUCAUGGUUAUUCAGUGCCUCGCCAUAACUACCUCUUUGGUUCCUUACAUCUGAGGGAUCCACUUUGUAGAAAACUGGCCAAACCAUCUGUUGCUUUGAUUUUCUACACUGAAUGAUAUGAACAAGUUCAUCCAAGCACCACUUCGAGGAUGCAUAGUUUUCAGAGAAUACGAUGAUGGAACACCUCGAUCCUUCAAUUGCAUCAAGAAGUGCUUGUGAUAUUUCUUCUCCUCUUGGGAGCUCAUCAUCUAUGAAGGUUCUGAUGCCCCUCUGGACCAAAUUUUUGUGUAGAUGGUCUGUGAAAUUGUAGCGUGUGUCCUCACCUCUAAAGCUGAGAAACACAUCGUGUGUCCAUGAAUUGGUGAAAGAAGAAGAAGAAGAAGGGGAAGGAGCUCCUAAUAAUUGAGUGGUGCUUAGAUCCAUAUUGUUGAAAAUUGAACAGGCUGAAAGGGUUGGAAAUUAUGGUGAUUUAUUGUCCAAGAGUUUCUGGUUGGCAAUGUCAGUGGAGAGAAGAAACAUGCGAGUGAAAAAUCUUGGUCUUUCUGGGCCCCAAGAGCUCCUACCCCUGCUGGGUCUCUCUAGACCCGAGGGACAGUUUAACCAAAAAUAAACGUAGUAAUAAUAACACACUGGUAACAGCACUCUCACCCAAUUGUCAUGACAAAUAGCAAGGGCUGUUACUAUUUAUGCAAAAUUGGUCAAAGAAAGUAUUCGGUACUCUGUCAUUAAGACAAUUUACGCCCCACUACAUUGCUCAUGGUUGCGUUUGUCUCCUAAAAUACAACCACCACUUACAAUUGUAACUUUUUUCAUUUUACAUUUCAAACUUCAAAUCCAGUCGGCAAUUAGACCAGUAUUAACUAGUACAUGCAGUUACAUAAAAAUUUGAAUGCAAACCCUUUGUGUCUAGAAACAAUUCUGCACUAAAAAUAGUUUUCAGUUCAACAUUGGUCGUGUGUGUUUAUUUUCUUGUCUCACCACAACAACUUCCAAAACCACAGCAAAGCUAGCUGCAGUCAUUUUGUCACAAAAUUGUUCGUUUGUUAAAAAUAGUUUAUGGUUUAAUGGUUUGUUCUGUUAAGGGAAAGCUUGGUUGCAAUAAUUAAACUUUUGGUUUAUAUAUAAUUCCUUUAAAUCCAAAUGUAAGAACCAUUAAUUCAUCCGCUAAUAGCUUGCAAAAAUUGAUUAAAAUGGAAAAACAAAAAACAAAUACACAUCAAAUUAAUAGUACAGUUAUAUAUAUGCAAGAUUAGACUAAUAUUUUAAACAUGUUUACAAGGUGUUCACCAAGGCACAAAACGGUCCAUAAGCAAACAGACUGUGGCCUCUGAAAGCGUAGAGGAAUCCAAGUCCCUCUGAAUCUGAGCCAUUCUGCUGCUCUCUUUUCUUGCUUCUUUCAACACUUGUUCUUCUUCAACCUCAUCAUCACCCUCUCCUUGUUUGCCCUUUGAUGAAAACACCAUUCGCUUCUUAGCUCCUACCUUGUCUUUCAGCUUUGCAAACUCGCUCAUCCAAACCUCCACCACUGCAGACAUAAUUGAACUACUUGAAAACUUGAAAUUAUUGCUUGGUCUUGACUCUUGAGUUUGAUCAAGGAUGAUGAGGAGAGCUGGCUAUUAUGCUUGUUGGGUUAUAUAGAAGACAGAGAGAGAGAGAGAAAGAAAGAGGGCCUUGCCCUUCAUGUGGUUUGGAUUGGAUGAAAAAUAAGUGUGUCACAGCCGUUGGAUAUAGGUUCGCACACAGGAUUUAGUUUUAGGAAUAUUCGUUGGAGAGAGAGAGAGAGAGAGAGAGCAGAAGUGGGGUAUGAGUUUUGUGGAGUGAAUGAAAAGCUUCUCCGUGGGCGUGUGUCCUCACCUCUAAAACUGAGAAACACAUCGUGGGUCCAUGAAUUGGUGAAAGAAGAAGAAGAAGAAGGGGAAGGAGCUCCUAAUAAUUGAGUGGUGUCUAGAUCCAUAUUGUUGAAAAUUGAACAGGCUGAAAGGGUUGGAAAUUAUAGUGAUUUAUUGUCCAAGAGUCUCUGGUUGGCAAUGUCAGUGGGCAGAAGAAUCAUGUGAGUGAAAAGUCUUCGUCUAUGUGGGCCCCAAGAGCCCCUACCUCUGCUGGGUCUCUCCAAUCUAGGAGAAAUUAUAGAGUAGUACCGUAUCACCACGUCAGCUGGUGAUACUUCCACUCAAAAUAUGCCAUGUGUAAUUUUUUAAAAUUAAUUAUUCUUCAUUACAGCUGGACUUUAUUUUUAUCCGCUGAAAUAAAUUAGAAAAAUAAAAAACUUAAAAAAAAAAAGAGAGAAUAUCCCAGCAACCCAACCCUUACCCCCACGCCACCCCUCUGUCGUCGUCUUCCGACUGCCAUCAACAGUCAUUAGUAAGAGAGCCAAAUCCCCACAGCCUAAUAAAUUUUUGCAACAAGGAAACUUCAUCAUCAUUGUCAAUGAAUGUUAAUAUAUGAUGGAGUUUAUUAGAUCCAAUAUAAUACCCAACACAAUCAACCCUUUCCAUAUCAAUUUCAUGCUGGUCGAUUUGUAGCCUGUUUGUUAUAGACCCACCUCCCAUCCCAACCUUCUUCACAUCUGCUAGUGAGACCUUCAUCAAUGAAAAAAUAUAUAUGGAUCUUGGGGUAGUCACCAAAAGGUUGAGAAAGUUGAAGAACGGCAACAGAGAGAGAGAGAGAGAGAGAAAUAAAUAAAAGAGAGGGACGGGGCGGCGACCAGAGCGGCGGUGCGAGGUAGGCAUGUUGGGGGUAGGCUGUGGCUAUGCUCUUUUUUUUUCCAUUGUUUAUUUUCUUAAUUUUAUUUUAAAGGGUAAAAAUUAGGUUAAUGUCCAGUUGUAAAAUAAAGUUUGAGUUGUUAAAAAAUAAAGACACAUGUCAUAUUUUGAGUGGGAAUAUCACCAGCUGACGUGGUGAUACGGUACUACUCUAUAAUUUCUCCCAAUCUAGACCCGAGGGACAGUUUUAAUUUUAUAUGAUUAUUUAUAAUUCCAACAGCUAUAUUUUAUAAUUAUCUUUUUGUUUUGCUUUCUCUUUUCGUUAUAUUUUCUUCUUUUUAUUUAUAAUUAUUGUUUAUCUUUAUUAAUGAUUGUCGUUUAUUUUUUCAAAUUCAAUGAUAAAUCACAUAAUUCAGGUCCUUUAGAAAACUACUUUCAGGUCCUUUUCACUAAUAACCAAAAUAAAUACAACCAAAUUAAUAAAUGGCUUGGCAUGAGGAGUUUAUGGCAUGGGAGCUAAGCUUUCACAAGUUUAGCAAUUUAAGAAAGAGAAAGCAUGAGUUUCUUGCAUAAUACAAAGAUCAAAAUGGGGCAGAAGAAAAUUAGGAGGAUUCCUAUCUUAGGGAAAGAAGAAAACAGCGAGAGAAGAAGAUUGGGUGGCUUGAGUAAAUUCUCAGUUGCUUGACAAAGCUUGGUCAGGCUCUGGAUGAUGAUUUUGCUGGGUAAUGAGCCCUUUGUGGUUCCAAGGGUUUGACGCAGCUGGACCUCCUCAUGAAGGUGAGGCGCACUUGCUUUCCUUCUUGGUUUUCAAAACGGAGCUAACAGAGGAAAAGAAAACAGGUAUAGUCUUUUGCCCGGUGGGUACUUUCCUUACAUACAUGGAUUUCCUUUGGUUCCUGCUAUGGCUUCCCAUUGACUGUCUUGAAGCUUUGACAAAGAUGGAGCACGAUGUCAGAUUUUUAUAAGGCGUUGGGCUGGGCUUGUGUGUACAGUGUUGGGUUAUUAACGUAUUAUCUCCAGCAUCUAAUGGGUUUUCAUCAAGCUGCCGGAAAUAGCUUACUUAUCUUAGGCAUUUUUACUGAUGUAGGUUUAUCUAAGUGUCAUAAUAGGUUACUAGAUGUCCUCCUAAGGCAUUGGACCAUUCUUUUCUCCUUCUUUCAUGCUAACCCAUGUAUUUGGGCCUGAAGAAUGGGCCUGAGUUUUAAUACUCCCAAGUAGCUUAAAACUUUCAUUCCUCGAACCCUCAAUGGGCCCUGUGAUUGCUUGUUUCCUUCCAUACCACAACAUUCUCAGCAAGCCCCGGGUAAUUUUGUGGCUUGGACUCACUUAAGCUUGUGGCACAGCUUGGUAUUAGAAUAGUGGUCCUUUGCACGGCAUUUAUUUAACAUGCUUGCAUUUGAGUUUUUAUCAUGCCGUGAUAGGCUAUAAUUGGGCCAAGUAACACUGGAUGGGUAGAUGAGCAUGAUUUUGUGGAGCCGGUAUGCUCUUGACCCCUUUUGUGCAUGCUUGCUUGGUAUGACACGUGAAUUGUGGCUUGCAUUGAUGCGUCCUUCAAAUUCUCUUUUGUUCCGAUCGGGCUCCUUUUGCAUUCAAUCUCUCUGUGUUAGGCCAGAAAUUGAUCUGGGCCUAGCUCCUUGAAUUUCUAGGCCUCAACAAAUGCAAAUCCUUUGUGACUAAAAACAAUUCUGCACUAAAAUUUUUGAAAAAUAAUAUCGAUGCCUUUAUCAACAAAAUGGCCUAAUUCACAGAAUUUAGGUAAAUUUUAAACAAAAAUUGAUUAAAAAAACCAGAGAAAUGCCAUCAUAUUUUAAUCCCCACUAGAUACAUGCACAUAAGACGCGCUUAGGAUAUUCAUUCGGAUAUAAAAUCAAUAGGAUCCAAAAUUUGGUGUUUAUCAGAUUUAGGAUGAUAAGCUAAAUUUGAUAGUCUCAAUACGACUUGAAUUGAAUUCGGUAAUCUUAUUAUAAUUCACAUUGUUUGUUAACUUGUAAUAUAAUCACCUUAAAUCACUCAAACUCACUAUGCAACACAUUUCAUUCAAUUCUUUUGUGUCAAAAUAAUUGACUACUUGAACAUCUUUUAAAAGUUUCAUUACGUCAAUGGGGUAUAACUCAGUUGACUAAGCUCUUCCACCUCCACUCAUGUAGGCAAAAGUUCGAGACACUCAGGCACCUAAUGAAUAUUUGUGUAAACCACCCCCCCAAUCACUUGUACUAUAUAAAAAAAUUCAUUACAAAUUUUCAUGUUUUUCUUAUCAUUUCCAUUAUUUUUAAAAAAAAAAUCUAGUUUUUAUCAAUAUCGAAAAUUUUUCACGUAUAUAUAUUUCCAAAUUUUUAGACCACAAAUAUUUUUGAAACCAUCGAUAUUUAGUACCUUACUUCUUACCAAAAAACUUUCUGUAAGGAUUGUAUUUUGACAUGUUUGUUGUUUGGCUCUUCUCUUGUAUUUCACAAAACCAUUGUAUUAAUUCUUGUUAUAGACUAGAGGUUGUGUCUGAAAUAGAUUGAAGAUAAAUUCGAGUCCUCACGUUGCUGCCAAAGGUAAAUCUCACAUGCAUUCUCACUGGAUUAAUACAUGUUCACGUGUAUUAAUCCAACAUUCAUUCUUACGUGUUUGCUGCAACAUUUCUCUUUAUUUCAGCUUUGACAGACUUUCUUAAAACUCUGUCUACAAAAGGAAUAAUUCUAUCUUUGGUGGUGGUGUCUUGAGCCGCUCCCAUGCUAAAAGUCUGGAGCUUGAAAAAACAGUGUGAUUUUCAAAAGCUCUAUAUAUAUAUUCUUCUAGACAGAGUUGCAAAAACAACUUUUUGACUCAUGCAUUUUUAAUAGAUGACUUAUGCCUUCUUUCUAGAUAUACUCUGGACAUGAAAACCGAGAGGGAAUAAAACUCUGAAAAGAGUUUGCCUUCAGCCAAAGUUCAUAUCCUGAGGGUUAUGAGAAUGAUUGCAUUCACAUAAAUGCUUCCCCAAGAUGACUUUAAAGCUUUAAUGGCUGGCUGUUUUUUCUUCACUUCAAUCUUCUUUAAUGUUUCAGCUAGUAUAUGUUACUUGAGAGUAUACGAUUGAUAGUAUACAUAUAACCUUCUCCGUGUAUACAUUUACAAGAUUGCGGCUGCAAACCUUUUCUUUGUUGUUGUUAUGUUGAAUUAAACUACAUGCUUCAAGUACUUUACUUCUAGUUUAUUCUUCACGACACUUAGGUUUCAUUUGUCUAGCUCAAUUAUUCUCUGUGAUUGAGAUAGAUGAAUCUUGAAAUCAUGACUCACCUCAUACAUCAAAAUUACAUACAACUAGAGCUUGGUGCUCUUGAGAGGAUUUGCUGCUACGAGAUAAAGAAAAGGUGCUUGUUGAAAGGUUGAUUGAAGCUGCCUAUAGGUGAUAGAUUGAGCUAAGUCUUCUUUCAUUUUUCUUGUAUUUCUUAAUGAGUGGAUUGGAUCUCUCCUGAUUUGGUGCUCCCAGUUUUUCACCUACUUGGGUUUUCUGGGUCAACAACUCCUGUGUGUCGUUUACUUUCAGCUGUUAAUUGUCUUCCCUUAUUAAUCACAUAAUUGUUUGUAUGUGUAUGUGUACGACUUAACAGAACUUUUUAAAAUUGGUAGGUCUUUGACCGGUAGCCUACUUCACCCCCCUUUGUAGGCUCUUAGAGCUUAGGGUUUGGUUUUACACGUUCCUUAUUUAUUGUAAAAUUAAUGAGACUAACUAUUUAUAACAAAAGCCAUAAUUUCACUCAUAAUAAGCAUCAAUAUACAUUACAGAUGCGAAGUAUUUUCCUGUCAUCUUCAUAGUGGAUGUGAAGUCAAAGGAAAUAAGAAAAUGGUCAAAAGGAAACACCGACAAACCACAAAAUGAAAAAGAAAAAAGAAGCAUCAAUACACUUUCGUUGCAACAUUGGUGUUUACCAAGUAGUUGGGGUGUGGAAAAAAAAGAAGACAAAAGGUCGAUUGUUGAUGAAGUUGACUGAAAUAGAUCAGGAUUUUCAAAAUUAACCUCCAUAAUUGUUAGAAGACAAAAUUUUGUUAUUGGCGAGUCAAUUAAUUCAUAAAAUUGAGCUUUCACAUUGGUGAAAAGUUGAAGGUUUUUCAUCUUUGAGAAGCUGUCAUCACUCAAGCAUAUGUCAUCUGGUGUCGGAAACUUUGCUAUGAUGCCUUUAAUAUUGUUUGUUUCCUAUUAUUAAAAAAAAAAAGAAGUUGUUUUAACAUACAAAGCUUUAUAGCAAAUAAAAAUGCAAGUGUACACACACACAGAGACUUACUGUUCCUUCUGUUAGAACACGAUAAACAUUCUCGUGAAAUCACAAUCUGCUACGUUCACUAGGCUCAUUUGGCGACUCUUGAUAAACUAUUCUUCUACCCAAUUCUUCAAGCAAGUCAUGCAUCCCAAUUGUGCCUUGUUCAAUAUUUAUGAGGGCCUUGUCUACGAGUACUUUAAUAGCAUACUUAGGCUUGAGGUCACAACCUUCCAGGAUCGGUAUCAUAUGGUUCACCUUUCUACCGUUAAAGAAACAUGCUAUGUCAAGGAAAACUUCUUGCACUGAAUAUUCCAAUGCAUCAUAGCUUAUUUUGAGAGUUUUUUUAAUGUCCGAGUGCAGAUUCCCAUCCAAUGCAUCAUGCCACUCAUCUAUACUUCUACCACAUAGAUGAGAACCUAAAACCUUGAGAGCUAAAGGAAGACCUUGAGCAUGCUUCAGCACACAUUCUGCAAGUUCCACAUAAUCAUCAUCCAAAUUUCUAUUUCUUGUAAAACCAUUCCAACUAAAGAAGAGAUCAAGAGAUUCAUGAUAAUUUAAUUUCUUUGCCUCGUAGAUUAUACUAACUCAAUGAGAAGUUAGCAAAUGCUUAUCUCUUGUCGUUAUGAUAAUUCUACUGCCCAAACCAAACCAAUCACAACCUCCAACUAAGUUGUUUAAUUGGUCCAAAUGAUCCACAUCAUCUACAAUUACAAGGACCUUUUUACCACUCAACCUUUCCUUUAUCACACUGAUUCCUUUAUCGGCACUGGUAACCUUUAUUUCCUUUCCCCUUGGAAUCUCAUAAAGAAGAAGAUUUUGUAGGUCGACUAGGCCUCCAUAUGGUAUUGAUCUUUCUCUUACAUUUUCCAGAAAACAACUCCUUUCAAACACUUGGGCCAGUGAGUUAUAAACAGCUUUAGCAACAGUUGUCUUUCCUAUUCCACCAGUCCCCCAUAUUCCUACCAUGCAAACGUCAUUUCCGUAAACAUCUAAAACUUUAUGAAGAUCUCGUACACUAGCCUCUAUUCCAACUUGGUAUUUUGCCACAUUGAUAUGGAUAUCAUUUAAUACUUGUAAGGAAAUCUCGUUGACAAUGUUCUGAAUAAAUUCAGUUUCACGGCUGCCAAUUUGAAGCACAAACAACAUUUAAAUAAAAUGGGAUUUUUCUAUAUAUAUUUUAAAGAAGUGCUCGACUCAAUACUAGUGUCAAUUAUGUCGUGAAUCUAUAUAUAUAAAGCAAAAAGCAGAGAAUGGUGAAACAUUCAAAAUACCAUAAAUGUCAUUGAUUAAUGCAAACAUUAAGAAUUGAAAUUAUUAAUUAAAUGAGGAUAAUAUGGUAAAUUCACACUUUUUCAUAUUAAAAAUAAAUUAAAAUUAAAAGAAAAAAAAUUAGAAAACACGUGACCAAGCUAUGAUGUUAGGGAAAGCGUGUGAUGGAAUGGACACUAGGAUAACAAUAGAAGAGAUUGGUUUUCGUAACAGAGUGAUUUUAUUAGAAAGGAGAGAAGUACACUGCUUGGUAGCUAUUAUAGAUAUUUGAUACUAUUAUCUUCAAUAUUUGAUAGCUAUUAUAGCAUUUUCGGAUCCUAAAUUACUCUAGAAAUUUCUACCAAAUGUCCAUCAUAUUUUAACAGUUACAAUAACAGAUUCUGCAACCCUGGGAGAAAUAAUGUAGCUAUUGGUUGGCUAAUUAGCCUUUCAGUGAUGUAACUAUUUGCUGCAAUUUAUAUUACUGUUGUAUUGAUUCAAUUAUAUUUAUAUAAAAUAUAUUCGUUGGUUUUUAUUAUUUUGUUAUUUUGGUUUUAUACUGAUUGUUUUACAACAACUAGUACAUCAGUCGUUAAACACCUUGCAAUUACAUAAAAAUUUGAAUGCAAACCCUUUGUGUCUUGAAACAAUUCUGCACUAAAUUUUUUGAAAAAUAAUGUUGAUUCCUUUAUCGACAAAAUGACUAAUUCACAAAAUUUAGGUAAAUUUUAAACAAAAGUUGAUUAAAAAAGACAAGAGAAAUGCCAUCAUUUUAAUCCCCACUAGAUACACGCACAUAGUGGAUGUGAAGUAGUUUCCUGCCAUCUUCAUAGUGGAUGUGAAGUCAAAGGGAAUAAGAAAAUUGUCAAAAGGAAACACCGACAAACCACAAAAAGAAAAAGACAAAAGAAGCAUCAAUACACUGUCAUUGCAACAUGGGUGUUUACCAAGUAGUUGGGGGUGUGGAGAAAAAAAACAAAAACAAAAGGUCGAUUGAUGAUGAAAGAUAACUAAAAUAGAUCAGGAUUGUAAAAAAUAACCUCCAUAAUUGUUACAAGACAAAAUUUUGUUAUUGGCGAGUUAGUUAAUUCACAACGCGUCAUGCUAACUAUUAGAUAGAAAAGUAUUCAUACGUGAGUUUAAUAUAUUAUCGUCUUUCUCAAUAAGAAAUGUGAAACAUUCAAAAUACCAAAAAAUAUCCUUGGUUAAUGCAAACAUUAAGAAUUGAAAUUAUUAAUUAAAUAAGAAUAAUAUGGUAAAUUCAUACUUUUUUAUAUUAAAAAAAUUAAAAUGAAAAGAAAAAUCAGAUAAUGAAUCUUAUUUUUAUGAGACACAACUACUCAUCAUCUUUUUAAUUCUAAAAUAAUUUUUUUUUCUUCAAAAAGCCUCUCACAAGCGCAAAAGCUCGUGCGGAGAUGCUAGUUAUAAAUAAAUAAAAACUAGUGUAUUUUGUUUUUGUUUGUUUGUUAAAAAAUAAUAUAUGGUUUAAUGGGUUGUCCUGUUAAGGGAAAGCUUAGAGGCAAUAAUUUAAACUUUUGGAAAAACAAUAAUCCCAAAUGUACGAACCAUUCAUCCGCUAAUAGCUUGCGAAAAUAUAAUUAAAAUGGGAAAACAAAAAACAAAUACACUAGUAAUAAGUUUAUGUAUCCACUAAAACUUAAUUACAUGGAGGCAAUCCAAUGGAUCACUAAUGAUUUUUUCAUCAAAACAACCUAGUUAUAUAUAAUUACCGAAAAAACUAAUGACUCAUUUUUCAUGGCCAGAGAAGCGAGCAAAGGUCCUUCAACAAAUAAAACAUGUGUACAAGGUGUCACCAAGGCACAAAACGGUCCAUAAGCAAACGAACUUUGGCAUCUGAAAGCGUAGAGGAAUCCAAGUCCCUCUGAAUCUGAGCCAUUCUGCUGCUCUCUAUUCUUGCUUCUUUGAACACUACUUGUUCUUUAACCUCAUCAUCACCUUCUCCUUGUUUGGCCUUCGAUGAAAACACCAUUCGCUUCUUAGCCCCCACCUUGUCUUUCAGCUUUGCCAACUCGCUCAUCCAAACCUCCACCACUGCAGACAUGCUUGAACUUGAAAACUUGAAAUUCUGGCUUGGUCUUGACUGUUGAGUUUGAUCAAGGAUGAUGAGGAGGGCUGGCUAUUAUGGUUGUUGGGUUAUAUAGAAGAGAGAGAGAGAGAAAGAGAAAGAGGGCCUUGCCCUUCAUGUGGUUUGGAUUGGAUGAAAAACCAGUGUGUCACAGACAGCCGCUGGUUAUAGGCUCGCACACAGGAAUAUUCCUUGGGAAGAGAGAGAGAGAGAGAGAGAGAGAGACUAGAAAGUGGGGUAUGAGUUUUGUUGAGUGAGUGAAAAGCUUCCCCGUGGGUGGGCGCACGGAACUCUCUUCUUUAGAUUAAUCUUGUGGGCGACUUAGCAUAUUACUAUUCAUAAUAAUAUUCCAUUGCAUCUUAGUUUUCCUUGUGUCUUAUUCCAACAUUGCAAUUCUCUUUCUCCGAAAUACCCAUUCACCUCUUCAUCAUCAGUAAAAGUAGCCAUCUUCAUUAUCUUCACAGCUGAAGUAGUCAUGUUCCGAGUCUUGCUCAUCUUCACAUAGAUCAAUACAAUUAUCUCCAUCAAACCUCUCAUUAGCAUCUUCCAAGUCAUCGGAUUCAGACUCACCAUCUUCCGUAAAUAUAGACAAGUCUUCAUCAUCCUGUGUCAUUACCAGGUGGACCCCGAAGCUUUUUAAACACAGCGAAUCUAGUGUCAAAUUCAGAAAAUUAACUCGACACGCAAAAGGCGACCGCGGCCAGGUAAUCUGAUCAUCCCGGUAAAACAUUUC
rnacentral:lncRNA from 1 species